rnacentral:lncRNA from 1 species
GGGGAAGUAUUAACAAUGAAAAGUUAAAACACCUUUCUGCUGGCUCUGCUUUAGGGAAGGAUCUCCCUUAACUGAAUUAUGUUAAUGGAUGUAGCCUGCGGCUGGCUCCUGCCAUCCUAGUGACAAAGCUCUGUCCUUUCAAGCACAGGCUUGUCUGGUGAAGUGAUCACUUCUUUUCACCCUUCCAGGCCAGCCAACAAGAGAACACCAGCCCAGUCCCUUGUAUCCCAAUGAGGGAAGGGCAGGAGCUCAGGCUUCUCUGAAGACGCACAGAUGAGCUGCACAGCUCUCAGCUUUCUCCCGAGCUGGCGGAGACAGUAAAUGACAAAGUGGGCCAAAGCAAAAGGAGAAUACAAGUCUUUGAACUUUUACCCAGUGGGAAUUUACAGACAACCUGGAACAUAGAAGAAAGGUGGAAAAUUAUGCUUUGCCUCUUAAAUUCUACUAUUUAAAAAUAAUACAUAUAAAAAAUAAUACAUAUCACUUCUGCUCACAUUUAUUUCAUUGGCUUCAAGCAGGUUACAUGGUCACACCCGG